UAACACGUAGGGGACGAGCGUUGUCCGGAAUUACUGGGCGUAAAGGGCGCGCAGGCUGUGCGUCGAGUCGGCUGUUGAAAGGCGGGGCUCAACCCCGCGAAGCGGUCGAGACCGGCGUGCUGGAGUACUGCAGAGGCAGGCGGAAUUCCCGGUGUAGCGGUGAAAUGCGUAGAUAUCGGGAAGAACACCGGUGGCGAAGGCGGCCUGCUGGGCAGUAACUGACGCUGAGGCGCGAGAGCCAGGGUAGCGAACGGG
rnacentral:rRNA from 1 species